UGGGAUGUAGCUCAGUGUUAUAGCACUUGCCUAGCACAUGUGAGGCCCUGAGUUCAAUCUUCAGCAUUUCAA
rnacentral:tRNA from 1 species